GACGAACGCCGGCGGCGUGCUUAACACAUGCAAGUCGAACGAUGAAGCUAGAGCUUGCUCUGGUGGAUUAGUGGCGAACGGGUGAGUAGCACGUGAGUAACCUGCCCCGAACUCUGGGAUAACUGCUGGAAACGGUAGCUAAUACCGGAUAUGACCAAUGAAGGCAUCUUCUGUUGGUGGAAAGAAUUUCGGUUCGGGAUGGACUCGCGGUCUAUCAGCUUGUUGGUGAGGUAACGGCUCACCAAGGCGACGACGGGUAGCCGGCCUGAGAGGGUGAUCGGCCACACUGGGACUGAGACACGGCCCAGACCCCUACGGGAGGCAGCAGUGGGGAAUAUUGCUCAAUGGGCGCAAGCCUGAUGCAGCAACGCCGCGUGAGGGACGACGGCCUUCGGGUUGUAAACCUCUUUUAGUAGGGAAGAAGCGAAAGUGACGGUACCUGCAGAAAAAGCACCGGCUAACUACGUGCCAGCCGCCGCAGUAA
rnacentral:rRNA from 1 species